rnacentral:rRNA from 1 species
UUCAAGUGGAGAGUUUGAUCCUGGCUCAGAACGAACGCUGGCGGCGUGCUUAACACAUGCAAGUCGCGCGCGAAAGUUCCUUCGGGAGCGAGUAGAGCGGCGCACGGGUGAGUAACACGUGAGUUACCUGCCUUUCAGUUGGGAAUAACCACUCGAAAGAGUGGCUAAUACCGAAUACGUUCCUUCGGGAAGAAAGAGGGCUUUCGGGCUUUCGCUGAAAGAUGGGCUCGCGGAUCAUUAGCUAGUUGGUAGGGUAAUGGCCUACCAAGGCGAAGAUGAUUAGCUGGUCUGAGAGGAUGAUCAGCCACACUGGGACUGAGACACGGCCCAGACUCCUACGGGAGGCAGCAGUGGGGAAUAUUGC